rnacentral:rRNA from 1 species
AGCGAGACUGCCGGUAUAAACCGGAGGAAGGUGGGGAUGACGUCAAAUCAUCAUGCCCUUAUGACCUGGGCUACACACGUGCUACAAUGGUUGGUACAACGAGUUGCGAGUCGGUGACGGCGAGCUAAUCUCUUAAAGCCAAUCUCAGUUCGGAUUGUAGGCUGCAACUCGCCUACAUGAAGUCGGAAUCGCUAGUAAUCGCGGAUCAGCACGCCGCGGUGAAUACGUUCCCGGGCCUU